rnacentral:rRNA from 1 species
UUACCGAGUUUAAACUCCCAAACCCAUGUGAACAUACCUAUUGUUGCUUCGGCGGGAUUGCCCCGGGCGCCUCGUGUGCCCCGGAUCAGGCGCCCGCCUAGGAACUCUAACUCUUGUUUUAUUUUGAAUCUUCUGAGUAGUUUUUACAAAUAAAUAAAAACUUUCAACAACGGAUCUCUUGGUUCUGGCAUCGAUGAAGAACGCAGCGAAAUGCGAUAAGUAAUGUGAAUUGCAGAAUUCAGUGAAUCAUCGAAUCUUUGAACGCACAUUGCGCCCGCCAGUAUUCUGGCGGGCAUGCCUGUCUGAGCGUCAUUUCAACCCUCAUGCCCCUAGGGCGUGGUGUUGGGGAUCGGCCAAAGCCCGCGAGGGACGGCCGGCCCCUAAAUCUAGUGGCGGACCCGUCGUGGCCUCCUCUGCGAAGUAGUGAUAUUCCGCAUCGGAGAGCGAUGAGCCCCUGCCGUUAAACCCCCAACUUUCUAAGGUUGACCUCGAAAAGAAACCAACAGGGAUUGCCCUAGUAACGGCGAGUGAAGCGGCAACAGCUCAAAUUUGAAAUCUGGCGCAAGCCCGAGUUGUAAUUUGUAGAGGAUGUUUCUGGCGACGUGCCUUCCGAGUUCCCUGGAACGGGACGCCAUAGAGGGUGAGAGCCCCGUACGGUUGGAUGCCUAGCCUCUGUGAAACUCCUUCGACGAGUCGAGUAGUUUGGGAAUGCUGCUCUAAAUGGGAGGUAUACGUCUUCUAAAGCUAAAUACCGGCCAGAGACCGAUAGCGCACAAGUAGAGUGAUCGAAAGAUGAAAAGCACUUUGAAAAGAGGGUUAAAAAGUACGUGAAAUUGUUGAAAGGGAAGCGUUCAUGACCAGACUUGAGCAGGUUGAUCAUCCGUGGUUCUCCGCGGUGCACUCUGCCUGCUCAGGCCAGCAUCAGUUCGCUCCGGGGGAUAAAGGCUCUGGGAAUGUGGCUCCUUCGGGAGUGUUAUAGCCCACUGCGUAAUACCCUGGG